AACACCCGUACCCAUUCCGAACACGAUGGUUAAGACUUAAGCGGCCGAUGGUACUAUGCUGGAGACGGCAUGGGAGAGCAGGUGGCUGCCGGAUU
rnacentral:rRNA from 1 species